rnacentral:misc_RNA from 1 species
GUACUCUCACACUCUCUGAUCCUUUGGAUUUGGGGAGCGGUGGACUUGGGUGCUUGCUGCUUCCUCGUGGCUCACCUGAAAUGUGUCAGUGCAUCUCUUGAUUGGACAUAGUACGGCGUGAUAAGUGUCUUCGCCGGCACCUCGUAAGAGGGUGGCUGAUCGGGAGCUCUGUGCUUUCAAACCGUCUUCGGACAAUCCCUGACA